rnacentral:rRNA from 1 species
UCUUAUAUGCCUAUGUUUUCGAAGUUGACCUACUUCAAAUUUCUGCCCCUUGCGCGUAUCAUCAUGAGAGUUGAGUUGGAGGAGGCGGCACGGGUUGGGGGGUUGGGGGCACUAGCUAAGGCUAAGGCACGGGCGCGCAGCUCGCUAGUCGGGUCUCUCCAGCAGCUGCUUAGAGCGAGCACAGGUAGUCUAGCGGUAGCUACCGGAAGGGGAGAAAGUGUACCGGAAAGGCGGCGGCUCGGCCGGGUUCGUUUGGGAGGCGGCGCCUCCCCUUCCUCCUCCUGCGCCUCCGCGAGCCGCACUGCGGCGUCGAGGAGCUGAAGGAGGCCUGCGAGAGGGGGCUGCGGAAGUUCAGCAGGCGGGAGGUCGAGGUGGUUCCCCGGAGGCGCCUCCGCCGCCCUCUCGAGAGCCUGACCGUCGUCGCCGUGCGGCAGGAGCACGAGCGGUCUCGGUUCCUUGAGCGAUUCCAGGCGAUACUAGACACGGGUGCGGUGUACUUCCUGUUCGUCAAGACCUGUUAGAUGAAGGACGAGCGGUCCUGGAUGUAGAACGGCAUGCUCAAUGCACGGUAUGUUUUUCUUUUCCAUUCUUCCUACCUCUGUCUCUUGCCUUUCAGUUUUCUACACUAACGACAACUCCACCUCUACGUCCUUAGUUUUACGUCAUCUCUUAGAGUUUGCAAUGGUCUACUAAGUCUUGGAGUCCCAAGUAUCAACUACAACGACUACCGUAUAAUCUUCGAAGUCUACGUACCCGACUCACAAGUAACACCGAAGACCUACCUACAUCGUUAGACGAGUCACACGGUAACCCCACGGACAUAUACAUCAUUAGUUUAAAACCUCAAAUCCUUAAAACUCCGUCGUGCGACGUAGACGACUAUCGAGUUGUAUCGUCGACAAACAACCGACACGUGACUGUAGAUAAGACCUUGAAAUGUCCUUUAAGACGACGUGACUUUGUAAACAAUACGUGCAGCUCAACUAAAAUGUCCCUAAAGAUCAGAGUAAAUUCCGUCUAAAAGACGAAUUAAAUCAAUCCGUAUUCCGUAU